UGGCGGCGUGCUUAACACAUGCAAGUCGAACGAAGCUCUUGAUCGGAGGAUCGUCCAAAGUGAUGAGAAGACUUAGUGGCGGACGGGUGAGUAACGCGUGGGUAACCUGCCAUAUACAGGGGGAUAACAGUUAGAAAUGACUGCUAAUACCGCAUAAGCGCACAGUAAGGCAUCUUACAGUGUGAAAAGCCGAGACGGUAUAUGAUGGACCCGCGUCUGAUUAGCUAGUUGGUGAGGUAACGGCUCACCAAGGCGACGAUCAGUAGCCGGCCUGAGAGGGUGAACGGCCACAUUGGGACUGAGACACGGCCCAAACUCCUACGGGAGGCAGCAGUGGGGAAUAUUGCACAAUGGGGGGAAACCCUGAUGCAAGCGACGCCGCGUGAGUGAAGAAGUAAUUCGUUACGUAAAGCUCUAUCAGCAGGGAAGAAAAUGACGGUACCUGACUAAGAAGCCCCGGCUAACUACGUGCCAGCAGCAGC
rnacentral:rRNA from 1 species